rnacentral:rRNA from 1 species
CCUACGGGUGGCAGCAGUGAGGAAUAUUGGUCAAUGGGCGGGAGCCUGAACCAGCCAAGCCGCGUGAGGGAAGAAGGUACAGCGUAUCGUAAACCUCUUUUGUCAGGGAACAAAGGCGGGGACUAGUCCCCGGAUGAGGGUACCUGAAGAAAAAGCAUCGGCUAACUCGGUGCCAGCAGACGCGGUAAUACGGAGGCUGCGAGCGUUAUCCGGAUUUAUUGGGUUUAAAGGGUGCGCAGGGGGCCUGUUAAGUCAGCGGGAAAAGCCCGGGGCUCACCCCCGGCGAGCCGUGGAAACUGGCGGGCUGGAGUUGGCGAGAAGUACGCGGAAUGCGCGGUGUAGCGGUGAAAUGCUUAGAUAUCGCGCAGAACCCCGAUUGCGAAGGCAGCGUACCGGCUCCACACUGACGCUGAGGCACGAAAGCGUGGGUAUCGAACAGGAUUAGAUACCCUAGUAGUC